AACGCACAUUGCGCCCCUUGGUAUUCCGAGGGGCAUGCCUGUUCGAGCGUCAUUACAACCCUCAAGCUCUGCUUGGUAUUGGACUCCGCGGCUCACCCCGCGGGCCUUAAAAUUAGUGGCGGCGUCCUCAGGCUCUGAACGUAGUAUAUAUUCCUCGUUACGGAGUCCUGGCGGCGGUAGUCAUCAACCCCCAACUUUCUAAGUUUGACCUCGGAUCAGGUAGGGAUACCCGCUGAACUUAA
rnacentral:misc_RNA from 1 species